GCCGGCAGCUAGCUCUCUGCAACUCUCUUGGUCGCCCUCUGAAGCAAAGCAGGGCUGAUCCUGGCCAGUACCUGGAUGGGAGACCACAUGGGACAGCUGGGUUGCUGCCGGAA
rfam:Danio rerio chromosome 1 genomic contig CTG104, GRCz11 reference primary assembly.